UGUGUGUGUGUGUGUGUGUGUGUGUGUGUGUGUGUGUGUGUGUGUGUGUGUGUUUGUGUGUGUGUGUGUGUGUGUAAAUACUAGAAGUAAUCACAGAUAAACCUUGAAAUAUGCUGUAUAUUAGAGUGUUACAAUGAUGAGUAACUAUUUAUUGAUCUAUUUAUUGCUUGAUUAUUUAUUGAUGCAGCAAUGGCCUCCAACAAAGUUCAGGUUAACUUUCAUUACAGCGUCACUAUCAGGCGGGUUGACCUGAUGGUAUUUAUUACAAGUGAUUUCAAGCAUGAUUGGCUUCAAUCUGAUACGGCUGUUCAAGAACUGCACUAUCAAUCAACUCGGUAACCAAUGGUGGCUUUCUCUUCCCUGUUUUAGAUUUGUAGUCGUUCUGGAUUUGUUGUGUAAUUGAACAUGUCUCCUCUGUAUCUCUAGGCAUUAUACAAGAAACAGAAAUGUCUGAAUAAAAACCGAAUUUGAACAUA